GGCGCCCCUCUCCCCGCUCCGCUCCGCGGUCCAGCUCACUUCAGCUAUGCUGGUCGACCCUCUGGGAAGGGAGACGUGGCCAAGAAACAGCAGACCUGGCCUCCACUUGGAUAAUUCUGCAAACCUUUGUAUGAGGACAGAUUGCACAAGGCUGCAUGGGUGAGGUGGAAGGAAGAAAAAGGGAAGAGUGUUUUCUGCUUAUGACUGGGACCCUGUUAUUCAUUGGCUUGAGUGUUUCAGCUGAGUUCUGUGGAUUAGGAGCCGAGUCAUGUCAGCACUAGAAACCUCCCGGGUCUCAGUCAUAUGUGCUACCCCACCUCUUCCCCGCAGCCCAGACCAUUCCUUUCAGAGAACCCUCCCUGUUUCGCACUUUCACAGAGCGAAGCUGUUCUGAGUCUUGGGGUCACACCCAGCUCACACGUCCCAACAGAAGCUGAGGAAAGUUCUGGGGUCCUUCUCUGUGGCCUCCAUCUUCAGCCCUGCCCUGCUUCCGGAGGUGGGCAGGAAAGAGGCCUCCCGGCGGGAGCUGCCCCGUGUCCGGCCGUUGUGGAGCGUCUGUCCUGCUGCUUUGGCUCAGCAGCUGGCUGUUGGGCAUCCAGAGAGCCAACGAGGCUGUGUGAUGUGGGAGACAGCGAGGGCCAUGUUCCCACACUGAAUUAAGUGAAAUGAUGUUGGCUGAACUGGAUGGAACAUUUUAAACCGGGCCAAGGAGGUGACCUGGGCUUGACUACAGCACAGCACAGGCGCCGAGUCAGAGCAAAGAGCAGGAGGCACAGCUGCUCGAUCCGGUCUUCCAGGCCACACCACUAACAGUUGAAGGCGUGGACCUGUCUGCGCCGUUCCCCACUGUAUAUUCCACAUCUGGGUCAAUGAUCAGCACGAUGGAAUAUACAUCCAUAUUCCUUGAAUGGCUGACUGAGUGGGUGUGUAAGUGAUGCUGAGGUCUGGAUUGAAAAACAGGCCUCCCCAGUGGAAGGAACCAGGGCUCCUUGGAGAAACGAUGGAUUCUAGGGCUGGGACAGGAAAUCCACAGGAGUGCCAGAAAGUAUAGAAACACUCAAAAAAACAAAAGGAUGGGGUAUGUUGAAGGGAUAUAGGAGUCAACCUAAAAAGAACACCCAAUGGCCAAAAUUGAAACAAUCUGAGCCUAAUUAUCAGAUGAAAAACCAAAUCUUUAAAUAUACGUGAGAGUCCAUACUGAUAUAAGUGGUUGACUAAAUAAGUAAGUUCUUUCUUACAGAAGAACUUAAAUGAUUAAUAUAAAUACUACCCUCCAGGAGAUGGAGUCUAAUUCUCCCCACUCCCUUCCUCCGUGAGGGGUGGAGAUACUGCCCUUAGUGACUUGCUUCCAAACAACAGAGCAGGUAAAAGGAGAACAGGGUCACUUUCAGUGGGGAAACCUGGCAAACAGUACUUUGGCCUGGUGUUCAAGAUUGAUUUCACCGUCCUGUCACGUGGGAGGCACAUCCCCACCGAUACAAUGUGAGGAGGGCACUUCUGCUCUGCUGGCUUCCUCCAAUAGCCCACAGCCCUGGUGUAACUGUGAAAAAUGCAUCAGACAGACCCAACCAGCAGGGCAUUCUACACAGCACCUAACUAAACUAAAACUCUUCAGAUCUGUCAAAACUCCAUGACAAACAUGACAAGAGGCCAUCAGACCAGAGGAGUUAAGGAGACAUGACAACCACCCGCGGUGCGGCAUCCUAGGUGAGACCCUGCGACAGAAAAAGGAAAUCAUUGCAGAAGCUAGGGAAAUCUGAAUCAAAUAUGGACUUAAUAAGAAGGUAUCAAUAUUGGUUCCUUAACUGUAACAAGCAUACCACUGUGAUGUCAGAUGCUGACAGUAGGAGCAGGCUGAAGGGUAUGUGGGAACUCUGUACAUU